rnacentral:rRNA from 1 species
UACGGGGGGGGCAAGCGUUGUUCGGAAUUACUGGGCGUAAAGGGCGCGUAGGCGGCCUGCUAAGUCGGAUGUGAAAUCCCUCGGCUCAACCGAGGAACUGCAUCCGAUACUGGCGGGCUUGAAUCCGGGAGAGGGAUGUGGAAUUCCAGGUGUAGCGGUGAAAUGCGUAGAUAUCGAGAGGAACACCUGCGGCGAAGGCGGGUUGCUGGGCUGACACUGACGCUGAUGCGCGAAAGCUAGGGGAGCGAACGGG